GCGGAAGUGGUGGAAUUGGCAGACACACAGUCUUGAGGGGGCUGCGCCGUAAGGCGUGAGGGUUCAAAUCCCUCCUUCCGCA
rnacentral:tRNA from 1 species